UACGGGGGGGGCAAGCGUUGUUCGGAUUUACUGGGCGUAAAGGGCGCGUAGGCGGUAGCACAAGUCAGUUGUGAAAAUCUCCGGGCUUAACCCGGAAAGGUCAACUGAUACUGUGCGAACUAGAGUGCGGAAGGGGCAACUGGAAUUCUCGGUGUAGCGGUGAAAUGCGUAGAUAUCGAGAGGAACACCUGCGGCGAAGGCGGGUUGCUGGGCUGACACUGACGCUGAUGCGCGAAAGCCAGGGAGGCGAACGGG
rnacentral:rRNA from 1 species